rnacentral:rRNA from 1 species
UAGGGAAUCUUCCACAAUGGACGCAAGUCUGAUGGAGCAACGCCGCGUGAGUGAAGAAGGGUUUCGGCUCGUAAAGCUCUGUUGUUAAAGAAGAACGUGGGUAAGAGUAACUGUUUACCCAGUGACGGUUAUUAACCAGAAAGCCACGGCUAACUACGUCGCCA